GGUCUGUCAUAAUAUAUUUGAGACAGUAGAUCUAGCUGGUCUGUCAUAAUGUAAUAGUGACAGUAGAUGUAGUUGAUCUGUCGUAAUAUAAUAGAGACAGUAGAUAUAGCUGGUCUGUUGUAAUAUAAUGGAGACAGUAGAAAUAGCUUCUCUGUCAUAAUAUAAUAGAGACAGUAGCUCUAGCUGGGCUGCCAUAAUAUAAUAGAGACAUUAGAUCUAGCUUGUAUGUCGUAAUAUAAUAGAGCCAGUAGAUCUGGCUGGUCUGUCAUGAUAUAAUGGAGACUGUAGAUCUUGCUAAUCUGUCAUAAUAAAUCUGAGACAGUAGAUCUAGCUGGUUGGUCAUAGUAUAAUAGAGACAGUAGAACUAGCUGGUCUGUCAUGAUACAACAGAGACAGUAGAUCUAUCUGGUCUGUCAUAAUGUAAUAGAGAAUGUAGAUCCAGCUGGUCUGUCAUAAUAAAUUAGAGACAGUAGAUCUUACUGGUCUGUCAAAAUAUAUUAGAGACAGUACAUCUAGCUGGUCUGUUAUAAUAUCAUAGGGAAAGUAGAUCAAGCUGGUCUGUCAUAAUUUAAUAGAGACAGUAGAUCUAGCUGGUCGGUCAUAGUAUAAUAGAGCAUGUGGAUCCAGCUGGUCUGUCAUAAUAAAUUAGAGACAGUAGAUCUAACUGGUCUGUCAUAAUAUAUUAGAGACAGUAGAUUGUGUUUUGUCCCUCUAGUCUUCCACAUUAUCUGUGGUCAGAACCAGGUCCCAGAACAUGUGAUUGUGGUGGUGAACAACCCUGUGUCUCUAACCUGUGACAUCCCUCUUCCUGUUAUCACCU
rnacentral:lncRNA from 13 species